rnacentral:piRNA from 1 species
CUUUAGAAGGAACAGGGCUGCCACC